rnacentral:rRNA from 1 species
GGCUCCUCGUAAUAUAUAUAUAAGGAGUCGGACCUGCCCAGUGAUUAAUUUUUAACGGCCGCGGUACUCUGACCGUGCAAAGGUAGCAUAAUAAUUUGCCUUAUAAUUGAAGGCUUGUAUGAAUGGUUUGACAAGAGUGGAGCUGUCUCUUUAUAAAUAGUUAGAACUUUAUUUUUAGGUGAAGAAACCUAGAUAUAAUUGAAAGACAAGAAGACCCUAUCGAGCUUUAAAUAAAUAAGUGUACUAUAAAAUUUUAUUAGCUUAUAAAAACUAGUCAUUUAAAAUUUUGGUUGGGGCGACUUAGGAACAAAAAAAGCUUCCUGUUUUUAAUAUUAGACGAACAAGUAUUGAGCCAAAAUAUUUGAUUAAAGAAAUUAGUUACCGUAGGGAUAACAGCAUUAUCUUUUUUAAGAGCUCUUAUCGAAAAAAAGGUUUGUGACCUCGAUGUUGGACCAGAAUAUCCUAAAGAUGCAGCCGUCUUUAAGGGUUGGUCUGUUCGACCAUUAAAAUUCUACGUGAUCUGAGUUCAGACCGGCGUGAGCCAGGUCAGUUUCUAUCUUCAAUUUAUAAACAACAAGCUUAGUACGAAAGGACCAGGUUGUUACAAACAAUAUUUGUUAAAAAAUGAAUAAAUAUAAAGAAAUAUUAAAAUAUGGGGAAAUAAUCAAAUUAGCAAAGUUAAUGCAAUUGACUUAGGAUCAAUAGACAUAGGUGAAACUCCUUUAUUUGAUAAUUCCUUAGAUAAUAUAAAGGUGGCAGAAUGAA